UGAAAGUUACCCUCAACCAUUUACAUAAGGUUGUUAAGAAACAUUUCCUAGAGGUUCCUGCUAAAGAGCUUGUUUUCUCAACAGUGUCCAGAAUAUAAAUUGUAUCUCUGAAGAGCUGGCUACAGCAAACCUUGACAGGGUUUGCUUAGACAAACCUGGAGUGAAUUGGAAGAUGCUCAUAGAGGAAGAACACUGAAAUCUUUCUGCUGAAAAAUAUAGCUUUCACCAGGACAUGAAAGUAAUGUGUAUGCCACAAAAAUGUGUUGCUAACGUGUCUUCCAGGUCCCAAAGAAUCCCUCUGCAGAAAAGCUGGCAUGGAAAGUUUUAGCAGCUAUUUAUGAUGCUGGAGAAGAAGGAUUCUUUUUUCCAAGAAUCAUUGCUAGAUGCUGAUGGAAGCAAACAAAAUCAAGCAGGCCACUUGGAAAUCAAAGCACAUUUUAAAAUGAAGGAUUUGUUUUUAUCCUUACCAGGAGCAAAAGCUGGAAUGAACCUGGGCCCGCUGUUACCAUGUAAGUGUUUGAAAUGAAAUAAACAGUUUUCUGACUGAACGGCUAUCCCCAUGGCAAUAGCAGAGGAUCUUGUGCGUUGAGCAGUGAAAGGAAUGAAUAGAUGAGAAGGAAGCACAGUAGAUCCUGACACAGCCCAGGGUACAGCAUGUAUGCUUAGAAUUGUGCUGUGAAGAAUACAUGCAGAAGGAACAGUCUCUGUAUUUCCAGGGUUUAUCAAUAAUAUGAGAUAGGACCACUCUGCAAGUCAGGCA